CCAACAUACAGAUGCAACGAAGCAAUUCUUAGGCAGUCUGAUUCUUUUGGACCGUUUUUGGAAGGAAGUACUGACAAAUCAGAAAAUGAUGCACCUCCCAAAGGUGUAUGGGUCACUGCUUCUCAUUGCCCUCAGCUCCUACAGAAAAGGCCGUGGAGACGAAGGCUUUUGGAAACAAGUCUACCAAACACCGAGGAGGCCGCCCUUCCACAGCACCAUCUCCUGGGAGGAGCAGGUGUGAUGCCGGGUCUUCCAGCUCAGGCUCCCUCCUCCCCUUCUUUGAUCAUAUUUGUGUUUGGCUUUUGCAUUUCUCCCUCUUAUUUCUCCUCAUCUCUCCCUACCCCCCUUACACACAUGCAGGUGCACACACACAUGCACUUCCCCAUCUUACACGCCCAAAAUAAACAGCAGUUUGA
rnacentral:lncRNA from 1 species